GUGAGAUGUUGGGUUAAGUCCCGCAACGAGCGCAACCCUCGCCUUCAGUUGCCAUCAGGUUUGGCUGGGCACUCUGAAGGAACUGCCGGUGACAAGCCGGAGGAAGGUGGGGAUGACGUCAAGUCCUCAUGGCCCUUAUGUCCUGGGCUACACACGUGCUACAAUGGCGGUGACAGUGGGAAGCCAGGUCGCGAGGCCGAGCUGAUCUCAAAAAACCGUCUCAGUUCAGAUUGCACUCUGCAACUCGGGUGCAUGAAGGUGGAAUCGCUAGUAAUCGCGGAUCAGCAUGCCGCGGUGAAUACGUUCCCGGGCCUUGUACACACCGCCCGUCACACCAUGGGAGUUGGUUUGACCUUAAGCCGGUGCGCCAACCAGCAAUGGGGGCAGCCGAUCCACGGUCC
rnacentral:rRNA from 1 species